UGCGGCAACCCUUAUCUGUCGGAUGGCCUUCUACCCACCUCUUCCUGUGCGUCGCCCGCCGCUGCCGCUGCCGCCGCCGUCUUCCCGUACGGCUGCAGGACCACAUCUCGUCGCCGGCCAUGGCCUCCCGAGUGGCCGUCACGCCUCCCGUGCAGCCGCCACCGUCGCGGCUCCCACGCACCGCCGAGCAAGUCACCAUCUCCACGCGCCGCCACGCAGCCGGCCGCGGAGCGCGUGCGCCGCUGGGCACGCCGCCAUCUCCACACACCAUCUCCAUCGGAGUUGGAGAAAAGGUAAUUUAUUUUUUAAAAUGUUGAUGCUGGUUCAAAAAAUGUUGGAUUCAGAUCGUCCAAAUGUUAAAAUAGGAGGUGAAAAAUGUUAAAUGUAGUAUUUUCUAUAUAAAAUAUUGCUCUCUAUUUUAGAAAAUGUUGAAUCGGUAUUUUUAGAUAUUGGUUCAACUUUUAGAAAAUAUUAAAUGUGAUUUGUUAGAAUGUUAAAUCUUGUUCUUUGAAAUGUUGAUUUGGACUUUUAAUUGGGUCCGCCUUGAGCCGCCGAGCCGAGCGAGCGAGCAAGCAGCUGCUGUGCACACAGCGCUUGUGCGUGCGUGUGCGCGACUCGCUGCUGGUGGUGGUUGAGUUGGGAGGAAGGACAAGAACAAAGAAAAACACGAGAACCAAGCUCCCAACUUCAAACCCAAAAUACUCCCUUAAAAUUCCGUGGAUUCAAACGGAACUUGAGCCAUAAAAGCAUCUGGAAUAGAUCAAGAAAAAGAUCACGAAAAUCUCAAAUAUUCAUUGCGGAUUUUGGAGAAAACCGAACACCCUGAAAAAAAAGGAUGGUUUAGGAAAAAUUUCAAAUUCAAGCUGAAUUCACGAUGGAUUUGAAGGGGGUCACAAUAAAGUUGCUCAUAAGAACCCUAGCAACAAAAGUUCCCAACAAAUCUCACGAAAAUCCAAACGCGAAGAACAAAAAAUCCCCCAAAAAUCUCAAAAAAUCCCGAAAAAGAUAAACUUCAGAUCUUGUGAAGAUGGAACAAGUUGGCACGUGACCUUUAAAUUACUCCACCAUGUCCGGUUACAAGUCACUCCUAGCCAAACACAAAGCUAUGAUGGCAAAAAACUCAAGAACAUGAUCCUCUCAUCACUCUCCCUCUCUCACUUACCAAAGGCUCUCACCUACACAAAUGAGAAGCUCACCCAAAAAGGUGGCUGCUCCAACAGCCACUCCUCAUAUAUCUGCGCAUUUGGCAAAUAUCCAAAAUACCCUUACAUGAAGCAUUCAACCCAAAUACCCUGUAGGGGUAAAACCAUCCAACUUUUUCUUGGUACAUCGAAUGGACUCAGCACCUUCAUGACUUCGCUUCACCUCCACGCGAGUUUCAUGAUUGUGCCACGUGUCCUCCAACUUGAUGCCGUACGACCACACCGGACUCACCCUGGUGCACCUUUGCCCGCAGCGCCGUCGCCCACCGCGGCACCGGCCACCGCUCCUACCCUUAGAUUUGACGUGAUAGCUUGGAAAUGGAGGAGUUGGGCUUGGGCCUCUUGUGCUGAGGAAAUGAGUGUGGGGAUGAGGAUAAGGUUACGGAUAGUUAAGACCUUUUCCGCUCCUCUGAAUAUUUGUUUUCAUUUUUUUUGGUUUAAUGCUGCUCCAACUAACAGAAUGAAAAGUAGGGGUAAACGGUAACUUCAACUCCAAAAAGUGGGGGUGAAUCUACAAAGUUAAAAAAGAGAGGGUAAAAUCACAAUUAACCUUUGGAGUAGGAGCAAGAACACCAAAAUCCCAAAACCAUAUAUGUUGCAAGGGCCAUUUACAUGCCACAUCCACAUGUAAAGUGGCUGGUUGUUUUUUCCCUGCAGAACGAGUUGGUCUUGCAUACUGGCUCGUCACUACAGCACAACUACGCGAAAUGGAUCGGCGACGAGCUCAGUGAGGCGGUCUUUGUGACUCAACCAAACAAUGCCUUAGGCGAGGCGUCAACGUCGUUGACGAGAAAUUUGGAUUAUAUUCUUUUGUCACUCUUUUAUAAAGACUGAGCUUUCGCAUAUUUGGUGAAUAUUUGGUGAGAAAUGACAGAUAAUUAUUGUUUGCGGGAUUAAUAAUAAUAUUAAUUAAUAAAAACGCAGUGUACUGCCAAAGUGCCAAGUUGAUGUUGAUGCUCAACCAAGGGAUGACAAGGACAAAUAGAUGUCACACAUCGUACGUAUCCAUGGUGCUGCCUAGCUUCUGAUUCGUUGCUUGCUCAUCUGCACACUCUUCGCCCUUCCAUGGUGGGUAGGUAAUGUAUAGUGACAUCGUCAUCACUAACGCGGUGUGGGCCCAUGGAGCUAGACGACGGCCGGGAAGGGGUUGAGGCGAGGCGUGGGGCGGAGCAGGAGCGGGUGCUUGCGAGCGCACACCAGGCCGUCCGACUCAUC
rnacentral:lncRNA from 1 species